rnacentral:rRNA from 1 species
CUACGGGAGGCUCCAGAGACGAAACCUUUACAAUGCGCGAAAGCGUGAUAAGGGGAUUCCAUGUGCUUUCGUACUGCGAAAGCUUUUUUGGAAUGUAAAAAGUUCUAAGAAUAAGUGGUGGGCAAGACCGGUGCCAGCCGCCGCGGUAACACCGGCGCCACAAGUGGUGACCACAUUUAUUGGGCUUAAAGCAUCCGUAGCUUGAUAAUCAAGUUUCUAGUGAAACUUAGCAGCUCAACUGUUAAGCGUGCUAGGAAUACUGAUUAUCUAGAGACCGGGAGGAGUCAGGAGUAUUCCUGGGGUAGCGGUAAAAUGUUAUAAUCCUAGGAGGACUAUCAGUGGCGAAGGCGCCUGACUAGAACGGGUCUGACGGUGAGGGAUGAAAGCUAGGGGAGCAAACAGGAUUAGAUACCCCGGUAGUC